UACGUAGGGUGCAAGCGUUGUCCGGAUUUACUGGGUUUAAAGGGUGCGUAGGCGGGCUUUUAAGUCGGCGAUGAAAUGGGGGCGCUCAACGCCACCCGCUGUUUCCGAUACUGAAAGUCUUGAGAGCGGAUGAGGCGGCUGGAAUGAGCGGUGUAGCGGUGAAAUGCGUAGAGAUCGCUCAGAACACCGAUUGCGAAGGCAGGUCGCCGGGCCGCAUCUGACGCUGAGGCACGAAAGCGUGGGGAUCAAACAGG
rnacentral:rRNA from 1 species